rnacentral:rRNA from 1 species
GACAGAGGGGGCAAGCGUUGCUCGGAAUUACUGGGCGUAAAGGGCGCGUAGGCGGGAUGGCAAGUCGGUCGUGAAAUCCCUCGGCUCAACCGAGGAACGUCGAUCGAUACUGCUGUUCUUGAGGAUUGCAGAGGAGACUGGAAUUCCCGGUGUAGCGGUGAAAUGUGUAGAGAUCGGGAGGAGCACCGGUGGCGGAAGGCG